GGGCCCGUACUUCAGUUGGUAGAAGAGCGCGUUUACACCGCGUAGGUCGUCGGUUCGAGCCCGGCCGGGCCCA
rnacentral:tRNA from 2 species